rnacentral:lncRNA from 1 species
AAAAAAGAAAGAAAAAGGGUUUAAGUGAUGUGUAACACCCAAAAAUCCAGGUCUUUCAAAUAGAAAGUGUGUUCAGGCCACGGUAGAAGAAAGGAGCAAGAGCACUACAGUUUCCCCUCUGGCUGCCAGCAAACCACCUUAGGAUUCAUUCUGAAUGUUUCAGGUGAGAUUUGUAUCUAUCUGGACAGCUGUAAGAGUUAUU